rnacentral:misc_RNA from 1 species
GAAAUGCGAUAAGUAAUGUGAAUUGCAGAAUUCAGUGAAUCAUCGAAUCUUUGAACGCACCUUGCGCUCCUUGGUAUUCCUUGGAGCAUGCCUGUUUGAGUAUCAUGAAAUCUUCAAAGUAAAUCUUUUGUUAACUCAAUUGGUUUCUACUUUGGUAUUGGAGGUCUUUGCAGCUUCACACCUGCUCCUCUUUGUUCAUUAGCUGGAUCUCAGUGUUAUGCUUGGUUCCACUCGGCGUGAUAAGUUAUCUAUCGCUGAGGACACUGUAAAAGGUGGCCAAGGUAAAUGCAGAUGAACCGCUUCUAAUAUUCCAUUGACUUGGACAAUACUUUUAUGAUCUGAUCUCAAAUCAGGUAGGACUACCCGCUGAACUUAAGC